rnacentral:rRNA from 1 species
AUUGAACGCUGGCGGCAGGCUUAACACAUGCAAGUCGAGCGAGCGGCGGACGGGUGAGUAAUGUCUGGGAAACUGCCUGAUGGAGGGGGAUAACUACUGGAAACGGUCGCUAAUACCACAUACCAUGAUAUGUGCCCAGAUGGGAUUAGCUAGUAGGUGGGGUAAUGGCUCACCUAGGAGACGAUCCCUAGCUGGUCUGAGAGGAUGACCAGCAACACUGGAACUGAUACACGGUCCAGACGCCUACGGGAGGCAGCAGUGGGGAAUAUUGCACAAUGGGAGAAAGCCUGAUGCAGCCAUGCCGCGUGUGUGAAGAAGGCCUUCGGGUUGUAAAGUACUUUCAGCGAGGAGGCGUUACUCGCAGAAGAAGCACCGGCUAACUCCGUGCCAGCAGCCGCGGUAAUUC